ensembl:snRNA Gm24592 predicted gene, 24592
GUGCUCGCUUCAGCAGCACAUAUACUAAAAAAUUGGAACGAUACAGAGAUUAGCAUGGCCCCUGCGCAAGGAUGACAUGCAAAUUCGUGAAGCGUUUAAAAAAAA